CGCGCAGGCGGCCUUUCAAGUCAGUGGUGAAAGCCCGGAGCUCAACUCCGGAACUGCCAUUGAAACUGUUUGGCUUGAGUACGAGAGAGGUGAGUGGAAUUCCCAGUGUAGAGGUGAAAUUCGUAGAUAUUGGGAAGAACACCGGUGGCGAAGGCGGCUCACUGGCUCGUUACUGACGCUCAGGCGCGACAGCGUGGGGAUCAAACAGGAUUAGAUACCCUGGUAGUCCACGCCGUAAACUAUGAACGCUAGCCGUUAGGCAGCUUGCUGCUUAGUGGCGCAGCUAACGCAUUAAGCGUUCCGCCUGGGGAGUACGGCCGCAAGGUUGAA
rnacentral:rRNA from 1 species